rnacentral:rRNA from 1 species
UACGGAGGGUCCAAGCGUUAUCCGGAUUUAUUGGGUUUAAAGGGUGCGUAGGCGGUUUGAUAAGUUAGAGGUGAAAGCCCGUAGCUCAACUACGGAACUGCCUCUGAUACUGUCAGGCUAGAGAAUGGUUGCUGUGGGCGGAAUGUGUGGUGUAGCGGUGAAAUGCUUAGAUAUGACGCAGAACUCCGAUUGCUAAGGCAGCCUACUAAGCCAUAACUGACGCUCAAGCACGAAGGCGUGGGGAUCAAACAGGAUUAGAUACCCCGGUA